rnacentral:rRNA from 1 species
UACGUAGGGGGCAAGCGUUGUCCGGAAUCAUUGGGCGUAAAGCGCGUGUAGGCGGCUUGGUAAGUCCGCUCUGAAAUCCCGGGGCUCAACCCCGGGAGGCGGGUGGAUACUGUCAAGCUCGAGUCCGGGAGAGGCGUGUGGAAUUCCUGGUGUAGCGGUGAAAUGCGCAGAUAUCAGGAGGAACACCAAUGGCGAAGGCAGCUCGCUGGGACGUGACUGACGCUGAGACGCGAAAGCGUGGGGAGCAAACAGG